GAUGAACGCUGGCGGCGUGCCUAAUACAUGCAAGUCGAGCGAAUAGAUUAAGAGCUUGCUCUUAUGAAGUUAGCGGCGGACGGGUGAGUAACACGGGGGUAACCUGCCAAUAAGACUGGGAUAACUCCGGAAAACCGGGCAUAAUACCGGAUAAAAUUUUGAACCGCUUGGUUCGUAAUUGAAAGGCGGCUUCGACUGUCUCAUAUGGAUGGCCCCGCGUCGCAUUAGAUAGUUGGUGAGGUUACGGCUAACCAAUGCAACGAUGCGUAGCCGACCUGAGAGUGUGAACGGCCACAAUGAGACUGAGACACGGCCCAGACUCCUACGGGAGGCAGCAGUAUGGAACCUUCCGCAAUGGACGAAAGUCUGACGGAGCAACGCCGCGUUAGUGAUGAAGGCUUUCGGGUCGUAAAACUCUGUUGUUAGGGAAGAACAAGUGCUAGUUGAAUAAGCUGGCACCUUGACGGUACCUAACCAGAAAGCCACGGCUAACUACGUGCCAGCCGCCGCGGUAA
rnacentral:rRNA from 1 species